GCAGAUGGUAACGUUAAAGAGAUUUUUCUGCUGCAAAGGAUGACAUUGAUGCAGCUUGUGAACUUGCCAUCAGAGGACUGUGUAUCUAUCUUAAUGAGGACUCUAAAGAUCUCAUUCAGGAGUAUGCGGACAUGGAAGAAGAUCUUUUACAGUGUGCGAUUGAGAAGACUACCAUGGGCAUCUUCGUGAUAAAGCACACUGCAGACAAUGAAGCCCAUGAUUACCCCACAAAGUUGCGUUUUACAUAUGAAAUUUAGCAAAAACUCAUCAUGGACUUGGAUGCGGGUGAAUUCUCGAUCAAGGCCCAAAAUUUCAAAUCUGAACUCCACCAGUGAGAUGGACUGAUUUUUGAAUGACUACUGAGACUACAAACAAUCAACCUCGGAAAAUUUCAGCAGCCUUCAUGCAAGACCACUGCAGAGGGUAAACCGUGAUCUUGUUGUUUAGACUGUUCCCCUUUGCCUGCUCUCGUUUCUUUAUCUUUUUUUUUCUGUCUGAAUUUGGCCCUUCGUUGGACUGGCUCAGAAGUUGAUUGAUUAGAGAGCUGAAUCUAUGAAACAUGGUUGAACUAGCAUAAAUAAGAUACUUUGUUUAUAGUUUAGGUAAGGGUCAGA